rnacentral:rRNA from 1 species
UACGUAGGGUCCAAGCGUUAUCCGGAAUCACUGGGCGUAAAGCGUGCGUAGGUGGAUUGUUAAGUGCGAUGCGAAAUCCUGUGGCUCAACCAUAUGGACUGUAUCGCAUACUGGCUAUCUAGAGGACAUGAGAGGCAAGUGGAAUUACUGGUGUAGCAGUGAAAUGCGUAGAGAUCAGUAGGAACACCAAUGGCGAAAGGCAGCUUGCUGGCAUGUAUCUGGACGCUAAGGCACGAAGGCGUGGGGAGCGAACAGG